rnacentral:rRNA from 1 species
UACGUAGGGUGCAAGCGUUUAAUCGGAAUUACUGGCGUAAAGGGCGCGUAGGCGCCUGUUAAGUCGAACGUGAAAUCCCUGGGCUCAACCCAGGAACUGCGUCCGAUACUGGCAGGCUUGAAUUCGGGAGAGGGAUGCGGAAUUCCAGGUGUAGCGGUGAAAUGCGCAGAUAUCAGGAGGAACACCAAUAGCGAAGGCAGCUCGCUGGGACGUUUACUGACACUGAGGCGCGAAAGCGUGGGGAGCGAACAGG